AUCUGGGCGGCGGAAUUCAGGAUGGCCGGCGUGCUUUCGCGGUGCGUCGGUCGUUUGAUAUUUCCGUCGCCAACAAACUGCAGACGUCGCGACCUGUUCGCGGUCGGUCCCUGCUCGGAGGAGCCACGUUCGAGCUCGUUGUGUGCGCGUUUCGGCGCGUCACACGGCGAAGGCGUGGAUCUCUGGCUGGCCGUCGGACAGUAUGCAUAGCGGUGUCCGAUGUCGUCGUCUCGUACGCGCGGCAUCGGUACCGGUCAGCGACGAAUUCUUCGGGCCUCUUUCCGACCCGUCUUGAAACACGGACCAAGGAGUCUAACAUGCGCGCGAGUCGCGGGGUAUCGAGCGUACUUCGGUGCGUUCGUUAUGUUGCGAAACCCGUACAUGUCGAAGGCGUAAUGAAAGUGAAUGGGGAAGAUGGUGUUCCGAGUACACGUUCCGCGAUCGUCGGUAUCGCGGCCGGACACCCGCAUUCCCGGGGCGUCUCAACGGCCCGUCGCUGAUGCGGACAGUCGUCUCUCGGGGUGGCUGUCGGUCGGCGACGAACCGA
rnacentral:rRNA from 1 species